CUUAGCGGGUGAUAUUUUCUCAAAUAGUCUCCAAAGCAAAUACCCUUCACUCAUCGUUAAUCAAGUCAUACUGAGUAUACUAUUCUGAGUAGACCUCGGGUAACCUUGUCCCAGGGAAUCUACCCCAACGGCCGGUGGCAACACUGCAGGGUGGCGCACGGCUGCCUGAGGUGACGGAGCUCACAUAUGAGGAGUCCGGCGGUAGUGGCGCAUGCCCUGUUAUAAGUGUAACCAUCACGUACCCUUUGAGGCUCCUAAAUACUCUUCCGAACGCAUGUGACCAGUUGUUGUGUCGCGUGUAACCUAGACUGACGCAGCGACGGAGGGGCAGCCUGAGGGACCGAACACCGAUUCCUGGAUAAUGUCUGAGGGCGGCAGUCGGGGCGACGUGGCAAUGAGGGCGAACGAGAACGUCCACAGGUCGGGGGUCACGCCGGAGGAGAUGGCGGCCGGCUACGACGAGUGGUCCGAGAACUACGAGGAGAUGAUGAUCUGGAAAGGCGGGUACCGUGGCCCCGCCAUCACGCUGGAGGAGGCGCUGCGUUGGUACCC